rnacentral:lncRNA from 1 species
GCCAGUGUGAAGUGUGAAUCCUUGAGAGGCUGUGGCAAGGGUCCAUGCCUGAAUGUGUAGAACAAGAACAGCUGGAGGCUGUGGCUUUCUCCAGGAAGAGGUUUCUAAAUCUGCCUCUUAGAAGAUAUCAGAAAGUUAAAGUUUCUCUUGCUGCCGCCGUGUAAGAAGGACCUUUUGCCUCCCACCAUGAUUCUAAGUCCUCCCCAGCCACGUGGAACUGCUUUCAUUUGGUCUCUUUUCGAAUCAGAAGACCCAGAAAACUUGGAUCCACUUCUGGCUCUCAUCCCUCUGGGCAGUGUGAUUUGGAGUAAAGCAGCUACGGCUUAGAAAGGCUGAGGAACUUGCCUGAGGCUAUCCAGCUACUGAGAGAUAAACUGGGGUGUGAAUUCAGAGAGCUUGACUCCUGAGGCUCCACCUGUGCCUAUAAUUCCAGCAUGACACCUGGUAAUGGGCACUCAGUAUAUGCUUGUUGAUCUAAACUCAGUGUGUGUGUGUGUGUCUGUGUGUGUCUGUGUGUGUGUGUGUGUGUGUGUGUGUGUGUGUGGUCUUCCUCUCACAUCCAAAGCUACUAGCACUGAGGAAGUUGGGCAUGGUGUAGGAAAGAGAAAUCUUUGCUGUUAAAUCUCAUUUCCAGCAUAACUGUCAAUGGAGAGGUGGCAUGGAAGGGACAACCAGUUCGUGUACCAAAUUACUCUCAGCUUGCUUGUUGUCUUAGGCAUAUGUUCUGGGAGUGGCCAACACCUGUUUUACAUCUGUGUUAGUCUUUGCGGAAUAAAAAGCAAAUUAGGGUUUAAUGGGGACUAUUAAUCUUGUCACCUAAUUGAGUAGAUCUAAUAAAUCUUUUCAUUCAAAACCCAAUGGGAAUUUCUAGUUGGAAAUGAGUGUGGGGAAUAUUCAAUCUCAAAAAUAUUUUCAUACACAAAGAUUAUAUAUGAGUUUGUGAAAGAUGUUGAAUAUUCAAUGAAAUUUAAUGAGUAUGAAUUGAACACUUAUCCUGGGCCUAGAACUGUUGGCAGUUGCUUUUGAGAGUUACAGAGUACAUUUAUGGUAAUUACUGCACUUACGAAUUUUGCUAUGUGGUUUGGGAGUAUCUGAAGUAUCUUAUAGUAGGUCUCUAAACUGGUAAUAAUAAAAAGUUCAAAUAUAUUAUUUUGUUACACUCCACGAGGAUCAAACUUCAUCAUGACAUGAUUAUAAUUUGAAAUAUGAGUAAGAAAUACGUAGGGUCAUGAUCUCUAUAAGCCCAUUCUUUGCUUCUUAAUUAAAUUUUGCAGCUGAUAGAAACAUUGAAAGCAGAGCAUUAGCUUAUAAAUAAUUCAGAAAAUGGUUGGUAACUCCCAUAGUAUAUGUUUUAUGAGUUUUGUUUAAGAAGAGUCUAUUUCGUGUUAGGUAAAGUUGGCCAUUGUUUAGAAUAAAGACCUGCAUUACUUUCUAUUCUAAAUUAAACUGUUAAUGGGAGUGCUUGCAAAGGCCUUGGUGCUUUUUUUUCUGUUUAAUAGGAGCAACAUCACUUUGGAUCAAUUAUUUAAUUUCCUUAUGUCAGAGUUCUUUCAAUUUAAAGGAAAAUAUUUCCUUUCCUCAUUCCUUUUUCUCUGAGGAUGAACCAGACAUUGGAAGUUGUAGCCUGGGAUUGUACUGGAGCUCUCACUGUGGUUGCAUUCUUUCUUCACAUUCAGCGUCCUCCUUAAAGCACACAUUUUCACGUACAUCUAUUAAAUUACCUGGGAGAGAGUUCUAGACACUAUCAGUCAGUAAAUCCAGUUGUCUCAUUUUUCAGUUUUAGCUAUUGUUGCGGUCAUAUGCCAAGGCUUGUAUGAAUGAAGGGUCUAUAAAAAUAUCUGCUGUGGUGUGAUUUUUUUUAUCCUUGUAUGAGACCAUAGCAUGAGACAGUAGACUGGCAAAUUGGCAGGGCGAGGAGAGUGUUUGUGCUUACACGGGGCAAUGAAAAGAGUUUUGAUUCUUCUUUAGCUAAAUGUUAUAAAACUUUAAAGCUUACAUUUGAAUAAUCGUUGCAGAUGGGUUAGAUAAAAUCCAUCAACUCACAAUGUUUUUCCUGUUUCCAUUCACUAGUGAGUAACAAGGUUAAAAGAAGGAAUGUUCUAUAAAAUAAGAUAUAGAAUUUGGGUUAGGUUUACAAGUGAAGAGUUCCUCUUUGCCCUGCCCCCAAAUUAUUUUUAGGCCCCAGGCCUCUGAAGCCAAGGUAAUCUGCAGGGCAGCUUUCACAUUUUAUCACAAGUCAGUGGUCUCUCCUCUUCCUUGUCCCUCCUAUCUUGCCGGCAAAUGGCUCUGUGGGAAACCCAUUCUGCUUCCUGUUUAAACUGUAGAAACAAUUCAUUUAAUUCAAUAUCUAGCUUUUGAUUCUAUUUGCAAAAAUACAGUUGUAAAUAGUUCCAUUCAUUAGCCAAUUUUUUUUUUGGUCUGUUAAGCAUAUUUGGGUCAUUUUAUAGUUAACCUUGGCUGAGGGAGAGAAGUUCUUUGAAGCUCUUACUUACUUACUUGUGAAUUUUUGGGUCUGAUAUGGAGGCUUUGCAGGUCAGAAGCAUGGCUUGACUGACCCAAUGCCCAUUUCUGGCUCUCUUCAUCCUCGCUGACCUCUACAGUAGAGAAAGGAGAAGCUGAAUAUUCACUGCUCUAACCUCCCUUGAAGCAAGGGGUGGCCUUGUAACAGUUCUGGCCAAUGUGGCAUAAGCAGAAUUCUGCUGAGGUGGGUUUUGGGAACGGCUUUUGAUUUCCUAAUAAAAGAGGCCAGAACUGCAGGCACUAUUCUUUCCACCCCUCUUGGUCUUGAACAUGGCUACAAUGUCUGGAUCUAUAGCAGUCAGCUUGCAACUUUGAGACAAUAUGCCAAUCUAAAAAUGGUAGAGCAGAAUUAUAGAUGAACAGAUGAACCCUUGGUUUUUAUUAGAUCAUGGAGCCCCAUAUUAUACAGUACUGCUUCCCUUUAGACAUCAUACAUGAAAAAUAAAUCCCUUUGUGGUAGGUUUAAUACAAGGCCACAAAUUCUUUGACACUCCUCCCAGCAAAGUCUAAUUCACCCUCCCUUGAAUAUAGGCCAGCCUUACCCACUUGAUUCUAACUAGUAGAAUUCAGUAGAUGUGACACUGCAUGACUCUCCAUGCUAGGUUCACAAGUGAUGCGGUUUCUGCCUUUUUCUUCUCUCUGACAUGUGCCUUGGGAGCUUUGAGCUGACAUGUUAGAAGUCAGUCUACAUUGAAGCUGCCAUGCUGAAGAACUCAUGUGGGAGAACACACAGAAAUCGAGAUGCCUGAGGAGCCCCAGCUGUACCAGCCUCUAGCUCUCUGAGUCUUCUCAGCAAGAACUGUCAAACAUGAGAGUGAAGCAGCCUUCAGAUGACUCUGGCCCCAGUCUUCAAGUGCCCUAGCUGGUGCCAAGUGGAGCAGACAAGCUGCCACCCACCAAGCCCUUCCCAAAUUGCAGACUAGGAAC